GCGGCAGCGAACGCGCCGGGCUCCCCCGGCGGGGCCCAGGGAUGGCCUCGGCCAUCCACCCCUACCCCUCUCCACCUCUCCUUCCUCCCCUCCUUUCCUUCCCCCGGACCUCCCUCUUCCCUCCUCCUCUCUUCCCCCGAGCCGCUCUCCCCCCACCCCCCCCCCUCCUGCCUGCCCGGCCCUUCCCCGCUGCCCAACCCGAACCCCCCUUCUCUUCCCUCUCUAUUGCCCCUCUCAGUUUCCCUCUAUUCCCUCUCAAUUCCCCCUCGAUUUCCCAUCUUUUCCCUCUCAGUUCUCCUAUUCCCUCUCAGUUCUCCCUCGAUUUCCCAUCUUUUCCCCCUCAGUUCUCCCUCUAUUCCCUCUCAGUUCUCCCUCUAUUCCCUCUCAUUUCUCCCUCUAUUCCCUCUCAGUUCUCCUUCUAUUCCCUCUCAAUUCCCCCUCGAUUUCCCAUCUUUUCCCUCUCAGUUCUUCCUCUAUUCCUUCUCAGUUCUCCUAUUCCCUCUCCAUUCCCUCUUCAUUUCCCAUCUUUUCCCUCUCAGAUCUCCUUCUAUUCCCUCUCAAUUCCCCAUUGAUUUCCUUUCCCUCUCACUUCUCCCUCUAUUCCCUCUCAGGUCUCCUCCUAUUCCCUCUCAGUUCUUCUUCUAUUCCCUCUCAAUUCCCCCUCUAUUUCCCAUCUUUUCCCUCGCAGUUCUCCCUCGAUUUCCCAUCUUUUCCCUUUCAGUUCUCCUUCUAUUCCCUCUCGGUUCUCCUUCUAUUCCCUCUCAGAUCUCCUUCUAUUGCCUCUCAGUUCUUCUAUUCUCUCUCAUUUCACCCUCGAUUUCCCAUCUUUUCCCUCUCACUUCUCCUUCUGCUCCCUCUCAAUUCUUCCUCUGUUUCCCAUCUUUUCCCUCUCAGUUCUCUCUUUCUUCCCUCUCAGUUCUCCUUCUAUUCCCUCUCAAUUCCCCCUCUCUUUCCCUUCUUUUCCCUCUCAGAUUCCCCUCUAUUUCCCGUCUGUUCCCCCUCUUGAUUCUCCCUCUAAAUCCCCCCCCGUAUUCCCCCUCUAUUUCUCAUCUUUUCCCUCUCAGUUCUCCCUCGAUUUCCCAUCUUUUCCCUCUCAUUUCUCCUUCUAUUCCCUCUCACUUCUCCUUCUAUUCCUUCUCAAUUCUCCCUUGAUUUCCCAUCUUUCCCCUCUCACUUCUCCUUCUAUUCCCUCUCAGUUCUUCUUCUCCCUCUCAAUUCCCCCUCGAUUUCCCAUCUUUUCCCUCUCACUUCUCCCUCUAUUCCCUCUCAGUUCUCCUUCUGUUCCCCCUCAAUUCUCUCUUGAUUUCCCAUCUUUUCCCUCUCAAUUCUCCCUUGAUUACCCAUCUUUUCCCUCUUAUUUCUUCCUCUAUUCCCUCUCAGUUCUCCUUCUAUUCCCUCUCAAUUCCCCCUCUGUUUCCCACUUUUUCCCUCUCAAUUCCCCCUCUCUUUCCCAUCUUUUCCCUCUCAGUUCCCCCUCCAUUUCCCAUCUUUCCCCUCUCAGUUCCCCCUCUGUUUCCCAUCCCCGUGUCCCUCGCUGUCCCCUCUGUCCCCCCCUGGCCCCCGGGCCGUGUCCCCGCAGCCGCGGGCUUGGGGGCGCCGGUUUGAAUAAAGCCGCGCAGGCCGGACCCGGCGCCCCCCCUGGAUCCCCCUUUCCACGGGGCCGGGCCCGCUCGGCGGGUCCCCCCCUUCAGUGUCCAAGCACCGCCCGACACCGCCGGGGCUCCGGCCCGUCCCGACAUCACAC
ensembl:lncRNA